rnacentral:snoRNA from 1 species
AGGGCAGAGGAUGAAACUAAUUUGAAUGGGUAAUUUGCAUCUGAUACUUUUUGCUGAUGCUACACGACCUUGUAGACCUGAUUUAUCAU